rnacentral:rRNA from 1 species
AUUGAACGCUGGCGGAAUGCUUUACACAUGCAAGUCGAACGGCAGCACGGGGGCAACCCUGGUGGCGAGUGGCGAACGGGUGAGUAACACAUCGGAACGCGUCCUGUAAUGGGGGAUAACCUGGCGAAAGCCAGGCUAAUACCGCAUACGUCCUGAGGGAGAAAGCGGGGGAUCGCAAGACCUCGCGUUAUAGGAGCGGCUGAUGUCGGAUUAGCUAGUUGGUGGGGUAAAGGCCUACCAAGGCGACGAUCCGUAGCGGGUCUGAGAGGACGGCCCGCCACACUGGGACUGAGACACGGCCCAGACUCCUACGGGUGGCAG